rnacentral:rRNA from 1 species
UACGUAGGGGGCUAGCGUUGUCCGGAAUUACUGGGCGUAAAGGGAGUGUAGACGGCUUGUCAAGUUAAGUGUGAAAGCCUACGGCUCAACCGUAGAAUUGCACUUAAAACUGACUCGCUAGAGUGCAGGAGAGGUGAGUGGAAUUCCUAGUGUAGCGGUGGAAUGCGUAGAUAUAUGGAAGAACACCAGUGGCGAAAGCGGCUCUCUGGUCUGUAACUGACGCUGAGGUUCGAAAGCGUGGGUAGCAAACAGG